rnacentral:rRNA from 1 species
UGACAGGUGGUGCAUGGUUGUCGUCAGCUCGUGUCGUGAGAUGUUGGGUUAAGUCCCGCAACGAGCGCAACCCUCGACCUUAGUUGCCAGCAUUCAGUUGGGCACUCUAAGGUGACUGCCGGCUAAAAGUCGGAGGAAGGUGGGGAUGACGUCAAAUCAUCAUGCCCCUUAUGACCUGGGCUACACACGUGCUACAAUGGGCGGUACAAAGGGUCGCGAACCCGCAGGGGGAGCCAAUCCCAAAAAGCCGCUCUCAGUUCGGAUUGCAGGCUGCAACUCGCCUGCAUGAAGCCGGAAUCGCUAGUAAUCGCGGAUCAGCAUGCCGCGGUGAAUACGUUCCCGGGCCUU